UGAUGAGACCGUCCCAAAGGUAGCAAUAGAAAACUCUGACGUCACACCCAUGCAGGAAAACUCUGAACAGACUCCAAAAGGUGGCGCUCCUUGUCAGGACUCCCAGGACCCACCAACUUCCUCCAGCAAGAUUGAGAGAGAAUCUGCAGGAUAUGGCUUACAGGAGAGCAAGAAGAAACCUAGUACAGUCAAACCAUUCUAACAUGCAGAUAUCCACCUUGGUUUUCUGUAUGUUCCUACCGGUAAUGCCAUUUUUAUACUGGCUUUUCAAAUUGCUACACAAAUCUUUAGUAACAAACGGAAUGGGGGGCCAAAAUGCAGGAGCGUCGAUCAUAUCUAAACCUUAUUACUCUGCUGG